UACGUAGGUGGCAAGCGUUAUCCGGAAUUAUUGGGCGUAAAGCGCUCGCAGGCGGUUUUUUAAGUCUGCUGUGAAAGCCCACGGCUCAACCGUGGAGGGUCAUUGGAAACUGGGGAACUUGAGUGCAGAAGAGGAGAGUGGAAUUCCACGUGUAGCGGUGAAAUGCGUAGAGAUGUGGAGGAACACCAGUGGCGAAGGCGACUCUCUGGUCUGUAACUGACGCUGAGGAGCGAAAGCGUGGGGAGCAAACAGG
rnacentral:rRNA from 1 species